rnacentral:rRNA from 1 species
AUUGAACGCUGGCGGCAUGCCUUACACAUGCAAGUCGAACGGUAACGCGGGGCAACCUGGCGACGAGUGGCGAACGGGUGAGUAAUACAUCGGAACGUGCCCAGUAGUGGGGGAUAGCCCGGCGAAAGCCGGAUUAAUACCGCAUACGACCUAUGGGUGAAAGCGGGGGAUCGCAAGACCUCGCGCUAUUGGAGCGGCCGAUGUCAGAUUAGCUAGUUGGUGGGGUAAAGGCCUACCAAGGCGACGAUCUGUAGCUGGUCUGAGAGGACGACCAGCCACACUGUGACGGAGACACGGCCCAGACUCCUACGGGAGGCAGCAGUGGGGAAUUUUGGACAAGGGGUGCAACCCUGAUCCAGCCAUGCCGCGUGCGGGAAGAAGGCCUUCGGGUUGUAAACCGCUUUUGUCGGGGAAGAAACGGUCUGCGCUAAUACCGCGGACUAAUGACGGUACCCGAAGAAUAAGCACCGGCUAACUACGUGCCAGCCGCCGCAGUAAUAC